GAGAGUUGAUCUGGCUCAGGACGAACGCUGGCGGCGUGCCUAAUACAUGCAAGUGGAACGCAUGAUUGAUACCGUAGCUUGCUACACCAUUAAUCAUGAGUCGCGAACGGGUGAGUAACGCGUAGGUAACCUGCCUACUAGCGGGGGAUAACUAUUGGAAACGAUAGCUAAUACCGCAUAAGAGUUUUUAACACAUGUUAGAAAUUUAAAAGGAGCAAAUGCUUCACUAGUAGAUGGACCUGCGUUGUAUUAGCUAGUUGGUAAGGUAACGGCUUACCAAGGCGACGAUACAUAGCCGACCUGGGAGGGUGAUCGGCCACACUGGGACUGAGACACGGCCCAGACUCCUACGGGAGGCAGCAGUAGGGAAUCUUCGGCAAUGGGGGGAACCCUGACCGAGCAACGCCGCGUGAAGUGAAGAAGGUUUUCGGAUCGUAAAGCUCUGUUGUAAGAGAAGAACGUUGAGUAGAGUGGAAAGUUACUCAAGUGACGGUAUCUUACCAGAAAGGGACGGCUAACUACGUGCCAGCCGCGGC
rnacentral:rRNA from 1 species